rnacentral:rRNA from 1 species
AGAAAGCCUAACGUCAAAUACUUUCGAGUAUUCGGUUGUAAGUGUUUCAUUCUAAAUAAGAAAUCCCGUUUAGCUAAGUUUGCGCCUAAAACUUAUGAGGGCAUAUUUGUUGGAUAUGCAUCAAACUCUCAUGCUUACCGUGUUCUCAACAAAUCCACCGGAUGUAUUGAGGAAACGGUAAAUGUGGAGUUUGAUGAAGAUAACGGUUCCCGUGCGGAGCAAAUUGUUCCUAGUGUUGUAGGUGAUGAGGCUCCUUCACAAGCUAUAAGGACUAUGGGGAUAGGCCACAUUCGUCCACAAGAAACACCCCAAGUCCAAGUAGAAGAAGAAGGAGUAAGAGCCCCUCUUGUGGAUUCUCCACAAGGGAAGUCAUCACCGCCACCACAAGGUCAAGAUGCUAUGGGAAAUCAUGAACCUAUCCAAGAACAAGAUCAAGUCCCUCAUGUUCCCGAGAAAGAUCAAGGGCAAGCUCAACCAAAUGGCGAAGAACCAAUCCGUGAGGCCCAAGGUCAAGCUCUUGAUCAAGAUCAAGAUCAAUCCCAACCUCAAGUGUCUUCCACAUCAUCACAUCCAAGUGAUCAAGAACUAGAGGUUGUGAAGAGAAGGGUGUCUCCAAGGCUAAAGCAUUCCCAAGGCCAAGCUUCUUCCACAAGUUCAAAACCAAGUGAAGAAAAGCUUACCCUCAAAGUGCAAAAAGCGGCCGCCAAGUUAAAGCAUCUUCAACAUCUCACCGACAACAUUUAUGGAAGCAUCAACAAAGGGGUAACUACUCGUAGACAUUUGGCAAACUUUUGUGAACAUCACUCGUUUGUCUCUUGUGUUGAGCCCCUUAAGGUUGAAGAUGCACUUGACGACCCGGAUUGGGUAAAUGCCAUGCAUGAAGAACUCAACAACUUCACC